UACAGAGGGUGCGAGCGUUAAUCGGAAUUACUGGGCGUAAAGCGUGCGUAGACGGUUAUUUAAGUCGGGGUGUGAAAGCCCCGGGCUCAACCUGGGAAUUGCAUUCGAGACUGAAUAGCUAGGGUGCGGAAGAGGGAAGCGGAAAUUUCCGGUGUAGCGGUGAAAUGCGUAGAUAUCGGAAGGAACACCAGUGGCGAAAAGCGGCUUCCCUGGUCCAGCACCGACGUUCAGGCACGAAAGCGUGGGGAG
rnacentral:rRNA from 1 species